rnacentral:rRNA from 1 species
CGAGCGGCGACGGGUGAGUAACACGUGGGUGAUCUGCCCUGCACUUCGGGAUAAGCCUGGGAAACUGGGUCUAAUACCGGAUAUGACCUCCUAUCGCAUGGUGGGUGGUGGAAAGAUUUAUCGGUGCAGGAUGGGCCCGCGGCCUAUCAGCUUGUUGGUGGGGUAAUGGCCUACCAAGGCGACGACGGGUAGCCGACCUGAGAGGGUGACCGGCCACACUGGGACUGAGACACGGCCCAGACUCCUACGGGAGGCAGCAGUGGGGAAUAUUGCACAAUGGGCGAAAGCCUGAUGCAGCGACGCCGCGUGAGGGAUGACGGCCUUCGGGUUGUAAACCUCUUUCAGCAGGGACGAAGCGCAAGUGACGGUACCUGCAGAAGAAGCACCGGCUAACUACGUGCCAGCAGCCGCGGUAAUACGUAGGGUGCAAGCGUUGUCCGGAAUUACUGGGCGUAAAGAGUUCGUAGGCGGUUUGUCGCGUCGUUUGUGAAAACCAGCAGCUCAACUGCUGGCUUGCAGGCGAUACGGGCAGACUU